rnacentral:tRNA from 10 species
CUGCCCAUAGCUCAGCUGGAUAGAGCAACGGCCUUCUAAGCCGUAGGUCGCUGGUUCGAACCCAGCUGGGCAGGCCA